rnacentral:piRNA from 1 species
UUUGGCUAAUGGGUUUUUCCU